GACGAACGCUGGCGGCGUGCUUAACACAUGCAAGUCGAACGGAAAGGCCCUGCUUGCAGGGUGCUCGAGUGGCGAACGGGUGAGUAACACGUGGGUGAUCUGCCCCUUACUUUGGGAUAAGCCUGGGAAACUGGGUCUAAUACUGGAUAGGACCAUGCUGUUGGGGGUGUGGUGGAAAGAUUAGUUUCGGUAAGGGAUGAGCUCGCGGCCUAUCAGCUUGUUGGUGGGGUAAUGGCCUACCAAGGCGUCGACGGGUAGCCGGCCUGAGUGGGUGGACGGCCACAUUGGGACUGAGAUACGGCCCAGACGCCUACGGGAGGCAGCAGUGGGGAAUAUUGCACAAUAGGCGCAAGCCUGAUGCAGCGACGCCGCUUGGGGGAUGACGGCCUUCGGGUUGUAAACUCCUUUCAGCCAUGACGAAGCCCUUGUGGUGACGGUAGUGGUAGAAGAAGCACCGGCUAACUACGUG
rnacentral:rRNA from 1 species